CUUUUACAACGGAGAGUUUGAUCCUGGCUCAGGAUGAACGCUAGCGGCAGGCCUAACACAUGCAAGUCGAGGGGUAACGAGAAGUGCUUGCACUUCGGCGACGACCGGCGCA
rnacentral:rRNA from 1 species